UCUUCCCUCUGGCGGCGUGCUUAACACAUGCAAGUCGAACGAUGAAGCCCAGCUUGCUGGGUGGAUUAGUGGCGAACGGGUGAGUAACACGUGAGUAACCUGCCCUUAACUCUGGGAUAAGCCUGGGAAACUGGGUCUAAUACCGGAUAGGAGCGUCCACCGCAUGGUGGGUGUUGGAAAGAUUUAUCGGUUUUGGAUGGACUCGCGGCCUAUCAGCUUGUUGGUGAGGUAAUGGCUCACCAAGGCGACGACGGGUAGCCGGCCUGAGAGGGUGACCGGCCACACUGGGACUGAGACACGGCCCAGACUCCUACGGGAGGCAGCAGUGGGGAAUAUUGCACAAUGGGCGCAAGCCUGAUGCAGCGACGCCGCGUGAGGGAUGACGGCCUUCGGGUUGUAAACCUCUUUCAGUAGGGAAGAAGCGAAAGUGACGGUACCUGCAGAAGAAGCACCGGCUAACUACGUG
rnacentral:rRNA from 1 species